rnacentral:rRNA from 1 species
GAUGAACGCUGGCGGCGUGCCUAAUACAUGCAAGUCGAGCGAACAGAUAAGGAGCUUGCUCCUUUGACGUUAGCGGCGGACGGGUGAGUAACACGUGGGUAACCUACCUAUAAGACUGGGAUAACUUCGGGAAACCGGAGCUAAUACCGGAUAACAUUUGGAACCGCAUGGUUCUAAAGUGAAAGAUGGUUUUGCUAUCACUUAUAGAUGGACCCGCGCCGUAUUAGCUAGUUGGUAAGGUAACGGCUUACCAAGGCGACGAUACGUAGCCGACCUGAGAGGGUGAUCGGCCACACUGGAACUGAGACACGGUCCAGACUCCUACGGGAGGCAGCAGUAGGGAAUCUUCCGCAAUGGGAGAAAGCCUGACGGAGCAACGCCGCGUGAGUGAUGAAGGGUUUCGGCUCGUAAAACUCUGUUAUUAGGGAAGAACAAACGUGUAAGUAACUGUGCACGUCUUGACGGUACCUAAUCAGAAAGCCACGGCUAACUACGUG